rnacentral:rRNA from 1 species
GACGGAGGAUGCAAGCGUUAUCCGGAAUGAUUGGGCGUAAAGCGUCCGCAGGUGGCAGUUCAAGUCUGCUGUCAAAGACCGGGGCUUAACUUCGGAAAGGCAGUGGAAACUGAACAGCUAGAGUAUGGUAGGGGCAGAGGGAAUUCCUGGUGUAGCGGUGAAAUGCGUAGAGAUCAGGAAGAACAUCGGUGGCGAAGGCGCUCUGCUGGACCAUACCUGACACUGAGGAGCGAAAGCCAGGGAGCAAACGGG